AGAGUUUGUCCCAUUGUUUUUUUUUAAUUGGGCACAGGGAAAAAUAUACAAUAAUUAUUUCCCCACCUUCCUUAAUGUCUAGCACAGCUUCUUCAGGACCAAAGAAUUCAUGCUGAUGAUGUGCAAAGGUUUGAUUGGGAUUUCAUUUUGAUAAUGAACUACAAGAACUGAUUUUUUUUUACAUAUAUAUAUAUAAUUUUUGAAAGUUAUUUCAUGAAAAUACAAAAAAAGAAGGCUGGUCAAUUUGCUGUGGGCAUUCUCUUGCCACCUGCUAAAACAUCCACUGAUUAUCUAAUAUGUGGGAUUCUUUUUACUUAUCCGGUACCUUUGGAUAUUUUUUUAACGCUGUGACAGUUUGAACUAAAGCAAUCAACGCAUUUAUUUUUGUAGGGCAGAAACAUCCCUAUUUUCCCAUGCCAUAAAAACUGUACACCAACACUGAGGGCGAGCACUAACCUGUUAUGAAAAGAGGGGAAAUCGCUCACAUCAAAGAGGUUAACCAGUCUAGUGCAGUCCUACUAAAAGGAUCACCUUGUAGCAUGGAAGCAGACUCAAAUCAUUAUACAUACUUUGUAGCUCACUGAUUGCCUGACUCAGAGGACAGUAGAACAAGAUGUUGCAUGAGCAAGGACCUGACUUGUUUUCUUUUGUGUAUACUAAGGCAUUACAGACUCCGAGGGACUCUCUAGCCUUUCGAUGCCUCCAUUUCGAAAACUGUCUGCUCACUUCCUCCUUCAUAUCAAGCUGGAUCUGUGUCUUUUUAUUUUCUGCAAGCUCAAGUACAGUGAAAAAAAAGCUUCUGCUAGGCACAGUUUAUUAAAAAAAUACGUCAAUCAAAAACUGGAAGAAAUGUAAAAAAAAAUGCAUAUAUUAAUAAAUAUACAUAUGGCAUCACAUUUAUUGCACAAUAAAUUAGCACAGAAGGUUUCAUUUCACUGAUGUAUUCACAUUGAGAAAGAAAGCCUGUGUCUUUGUCUGUUGUCUGUAUAUUCUCUGUUAAUGUUUCUUGCAUUUAUUUUUAUACCAUAUUUAAAAAAGAACACCUUUUACUCCAGAUGUAUUAAAGUUGAUCCUUUCUCUGUAAAUUUGUGUAUGUUUAUAUUGUUGUUUUAUCUUUCAUUAAAAGAUGCAGAAUCUC